rnacentral:rRNA from 1 species
UACAGAGGUCCCGAGCGUUGUUCGGAUUCACUGGGCGUAAAGGGUGCGUAGGCGGUCGGAUAAGUUUGAUGUGAAAUCUCCGGGCUUAACCCGGAAACUGCAUUGAAUACUAUUCGGCUUGAGGUCUGGAGGGGGGACUGGAAUUCUCGGUGUAGCAGUGAAAUGCGUAGAUAUCGAGAGGAACACCAGUGGCGAAGGCGGCAUCCUGGACCGGCAUUGACGCUGAGGAGCGAAAGCCAGGGGAGCAAACGGG